rnacentral:rRNA from 1 species
AUACGGAGGGUGCAAGCGUUACUCGGAAUCACUGGGCGUAAAGCGCGCGCAGGCGGUCUUUUAAGUUGGAUGUGAAAGCCUACGGCUCAACCGUAGAACUGCAUCCAAAACUAUUAGACUAGAGUGUGGGAGAGGAAGAUGGAAUUAGUUGUGUAGGGGUAAAAUCCGUAGAGAUAACUAGGAAUACCAAAAGCGAAGGCGAUCUUCUGGAACAGUUCUGACGCUGAGGCGCGAAAGCGUGGGGAGCAAACAGGAUUAGAAACCCCAGUAGUCC